rnacentral:sRNA from 1 species
GUCCAGAGUUCCUAGACAAUAGGAUUUAUAGGUCUUUCUUGGAAUGGCUAGGCAUUGGGGCUUCAUUAGUUUUUGUGUGUAUACAGGGAAAUCAAUUUCGUUCCCAGGGGUUGCCAAGACAUUAAUUCUGUCUAAAAAUUUCCGUUUACUUCAAUCGACUAUUAUUGCUUUGCUAACACUUCGUGCUGAGAUCGUUUUUGAAUGGA